rnacentral:rRNA from 1 species
AGCGUUGUCCGGAAUUAUUGGGCGUAAAGGGCUCGUAGGUGGUUUGUCGCGUCGUCUGUGAAAUUCCGGGGCUUAACUCCGGGCGUGCAGGCGAUACGGGCAUAACUUGAGUACUGUAGGGGUAACUGGAAUUCCUGGUGUAGCGGUGAAAUGCGCAGAUAUCAGGAGGAACACCGGUGGCGAAGGCGGUUCUCUGGGCAUGAUCUGACGCUGAGGAGCGAAAGUGUGGGGAGCGAACAGGAUUAGAUACCCUGGUAGUCCAUGCCGUAAACGGUGGGCGCUAGGUGUGAGGGUCUUUUCACGACUUUCGUGCCGUAGCUAACGCAUUAAGCGCCCCGCCUGGGGAGUACGGCCGCAAG